UGGGGAAUUUUGGACAAUGGGCGCAAGCCUGAUCCAGCCAUUCCGCGUGAGUGAAGAAGGCCUUCGGGUUGUAAAGCUCUUUCGCAAGGGAAGAAAACUUAGUCUCUAACAUAGACUGAGGUUGACGGUACCUUGAUAAGAAGCACCGGCUAACUACGUGCCAGCAGCCGCGGUAAUACGUAGGGUGCGAGCGUUAAUCGGAAUUACUGGGCGUAAAGCGUGCGCAGGCGGUUUUGUAAGUCAGAUGUGAAAUCCCCGAGCUCAACUUGGGAACUGCGUUUGAAACUACAAGACUAGAAUAUGUCAGAGGGGGGUAGAAUUCCACGUGUAGCAGUGAGAUGCGUAGAGAUGUGGAGGAAUACCAAUGGCGAAGGCAGCCCCCUGGGAUAAUAUUGACGCUCAUGCACGAAAGCGUGGGGAGCAAACAG
rnacentral:rRNA from 1 species